rnacentral:rRNA from 1 species
UUCCAGACUCCUACGGGAGGCAGCAGUGAGGAAUAUUGGUCAAUGGGCGCGAGCCUGAACCAGCCAAGUCGCGUGAGGGAAGACGGUCCUAUGGAUUGUAAACCUCUUUUGUCGGGGAGCAAAAGACGCCACGUGUGGCGUUCCGAGAGUACCCGAAGAAAAAGCAUCGGCUAACUCCGUGCCAGCAGCCGCGGUAAUACGGAGGAUGCGAGCGUUAUCCGGAUUUAUUGGGUUUAAAGGGUGCGUAGGCGGAAUGCCAAGUCAGCGGUAAAAUCGCGGGGCUCAACCUCGCUCCGCCGUUGAAACUGGCGUUCUUGAGUGGGCGAGAAGUAUGCGGAAUGCGUGGUGUAGCGGUGAAAUGCAUAGAUAUCACGCAGAACUCCGAUUGCGAAGGCAGCAUACCGGCGCCCAACUGACGCUGAAGCACGAAAGCGUGGGUAUCGAACAGGAUUAGAUACCCGAGUA